GGAAGGAUGGCAGAGUGGUCGAUUGCACCCGCUUGGAAAGUUGGCGGUCCUUCGGGACCCGGGGGUUCGAAUCCCCCUCCUUCCGCCA
rnacentral:tRNA from 1 species